rnacentral:rRNA from 1 species
AUUGAACGCUGGCGGCAGGCCUAACACAUGCAAGUCGAGCGGAUGAAGGGAGCUUGCUCCUGGAUUCAGCGGCGGACGGGAGAGUAAUGCCUAGGAAUCUGCUUGGUAGUGGGGGAUAACGUCCGGAAACGGGCGCUAAUACCGCAUACGUCCUGAGGGAGAAAGUGGGGGAUCUUCGGACAUCACGCUAUCAGAUGAGCCUAGGUCGGAUUAGCUAGUUGGUGGGGUAAAGGCCUACCAAGGCGACGAUCCGUAACUGGUCUGUGAGGAUGAUCAGUCACACUGGAACUGAGACACGGUCCAGACUCCUACGGUAGGCAGCAGUGGGGAAUAUUAGACGAUGGGCGAAAGCCUUGUCCAGCCAUGCCGCGUGUGUGAAGAAGGUCUUCGGAUUGUAGAGCACUUUUAGUUGGGAGGAAGGGCAGUAAGUUAAUACCUUGCUGUUUUGACGUUACCAACAGAAUAAGCACCGGCUAACUUCGUG